rnacentral:rRNA from 1 species
UACGUAGGGAGCAAGCGUUGUCCGGAACCAUUGGGCGUAAAGCGCGCGUAGGUGGCUUCGUAAGUCCGUUGUGAAAGUCAAAGGCUCAACCUUUGAAAGCCGAUGGAUACUGUGAAGCUAGAGUACGGAAGAGGCGAGUGGAAUUCCUGGUGUAGCGGUGGAAUGCGCAGAUAUCAGGAGGAACACCAAUAGCGAAGGCAGCUCGCUGGGGCGUUACUGACACUGAGGCGCGAAAGCGUGGGGAGCGAACAGG